CACGUCAUUCCUUCCCUCACUCACUCCCCGAGUGGCUUACUCCCAAUCCCUCACUCACUCCUAGCCCUUAUUGCUUUCCUUCAAUGGCAAUUCACACCCAGUCACAUUCUGUUUUGCAGAAGUUGUUGAUGGCAGUGGUAUGAGACUAGAUUCAAUUCAUUCGCUCCUCUCUUCUCCUCAGAGAAAUUGAAUCAAUCAAAUUCAAAUGGACGCUGUCAGAAAGCAAGUAUCGAAGCUUCGGGAACAGGUCGCUCGCUAGCAACAGAAUUAUUGCUAUUUAGGUUGUUCUGAAACAGUUUGGAGGUGGCAGUUAUGGAGGUUCAGAUAAUGUGGUUACCGAUGGAGUGGAGCUGCAGCUACACCAGAAACUUGAGAGACUUUAUAUAUCAACACGUGCAGGGGAGCAUUAUCAAAGGGAUAUUGUUCGUGGUGUAGAAGGUUAUAUUGUUAUUGGGUCCAAGCAAGUGGAAAUAGGUAAAGAAAGUAUAUGGUGAGAAGAUUAUGAAUAUUGUCCAUGAUACUAUAGUCGGGUGUUGCAAGAUUUACCAUUGCAGGUGAUUUAUUGCUAUUUUUAGCAGGGAAAUUGAAAGGUAGCCUUUUUUCUUCUUAAUCAUGGUACUGGUCGAUCAAUAGCUGGUAUUGUGUUAAUAUUUUAUGAGAUUAAAUGAGGUAUUCUAUCACAGGUUCUGUGGUAUUCACCUUUUAUAUGUAUACAUACACUAGUGCAUUACUGAAUUGAUUUACGGCUUUAACAAAUCUGUUCCUCAGUACCAAAUUACCAAUAACAAUGGAAUUUGAUAUGGGGAACAUUGGUGGUUAUGAGGUGACUUUAUUUGGCCUAAUAUCAAGUUGGAACUAUAUUGAAGAUUGUAAAGUUCAAAUGCAAUCAAUUAGUGUCAUAUCUUAUUAGUGUGUUCCUAGCCUCAAUUCUAAUUCUGUUUUCUUGUUGGGAUGGCUGCAAUCUAUGACUGAAGCUCUUUAAAUCAUUCACAAAAUUCAAAUCUCACAAUUUUUUAAAUGGACAAAGAUAGCUUACUUUUAUACAAUGGUCAACUUUACAAGGGUGCAAUUGGGUAUUCCAGCAGAAUUUGUUUGCAGAUUGACACUCGCAAUGAUGUUCCCUGUGUCAGUUGCAGCUCCUGCAGUGGUUGUCCCUAGACAAGUGAGCUUUCGCCAAAGGUGAUAUAAUUGAAUACAAUCAUCAGAUGCCAGCUGUUCUAGUCAGAACAACCAGUGCUCUUACACUUUCCAGUAUGGAGAUGGUAGUGGGACAUGAGGCUAUUACGUGCCAGACAUGAUGCAUUUGAAUGUUGUUCUUGAGGGUUCUUUGACGACAAAUUCUUCAGUGCAUGUAGUUUUUAGGUAAAAUUGCUAUUUUUUGAUAUACUGUCAAACUUAUAUUUCUUUUGGUGGUUUUUAAGUAAACAAUGUAUAUAUGCUAAUAUGUACAUAUAUAAAUAAUUCACUGACCAAACAUAA